rnacentral:rRNA from 1 species
AAUAAGCGGAGGAAAAGAAACUAACAAGGAUUCCCCUAGUAACGGCGAGUGAAGCGGGAAGAGCUCAAAUUUGUAAUCUGGCACUUUCAGUGUCCGAGUUGUAAUCUCGAGAAGUGUUUUCCGCGCCGGACCGCAUACAAGUCUGUUGGAAUACAGCGUCAUAGUGGUGAGAACCCCGUAACUGAUGCGGAUGCCCGGUGCUUUGUGAUACACUUUCGAAGAGUCGAGUUGUUUGGGAAUGCAGCUCAAAUUGGGUGGUAAAUUCCAUCUAAAGCUAAAUAUUGGCGAGAGACCGAUAGCGAACAAGUACCGUGAGGGAAAGAUGAAAAGCACUUUGGAAAGAGAGUUAACAGUACGUGAAAUUGUUGGAAGGGAAACGAUUGAAGUCAGACUUGUUAUCUGGAGUUCAGCCUUUCGGUGUACUCUCCAGUUUACAGGCCAGCAUCAGUUUUCGGGGCGGGAAAAUCGUAAUUAGAAGGUAGCAGCCUAGCUGUGUUAUAGCUUUUUACUGGAUUCCGCUUUGGGGACUGAGGAACGCAGUGUGCUUUUAGCAAUACCCUCGGGUAUUUCACACUUAGGAUGCUGGUGGAAUGGCUUUAAACGACCCGUCUU